UUGAGCCGUAUGCGAGGAAACUCGCAUGUGCGGUUCUUAGGGGGAAUAGUGCGGCAAUGCACGGUUCCUACCCGAC
rnacentral:ncRNA from 1 species